rnacentral:rRNA from 1 species
CCUACGGGAGGCAGCAGUGGGGAAUAUUGGGCAAUGGGCGCAAGCCUGACCCAGCAACGCCGCGUGAAGGAAGAAGGCUUUCGGGAUGUAAACUUCUUUUGUCAGGGAAGAGGAGAAGACGGGACCUGACGAAUAAGCCAUGGCUAACUACGUGCCAGCAGCCGCGGUAAUACGUAGGGGGCAAGCGUUACCCGGAUUUACUGGGUGGAAAGGGGGCGUAGACGGCAAUGCAAGCCAGGAGUGAAAGCCCGGGGCCCAACCCCGGGACUGCUCUUGAAACUGCAUGGCUGGAGUAAAGGAGUGGCAGGCGGAAUUCCUAGUGUAGCGGUGAAAUGCGUAGAUAUUAGGAGGAACACCGGUGGCGAAGGCGGCCUGCUGGACUGUGACUGACGUUGAGGCCCGAAGGCGUGGGGAGCAAACAGGAUUAGAUACCCUUGUAGUC